AGAAAGAUAGAUAUCGUCAUUUUUUUUCUCACUUUUCACCUACCAAAUGCAGCUGGCUAGUUUAGUUAAUCAAACUCUCGGCUCAAACAGAGGGAUGCUAUGUUAGCUAGCUGGCUAUGACUAUCCAACACCGGAACUCUUCCAAGUCAAGGUAAGCUUUUGGUUUUAUUAAUUUAUUGCCACCGGGGCCCGCCAGUGUAACUGCUUACUGACUGUACACUGUAACGUAACUGCAUGAUUUAUUCAGCCGAUUCUGUUGAAAAACAUUUCUUAAACGGAAGCAAACGAAACAAGGAUAAAAAUGCAAACUCUCUUUUGCAACUGGACUAAUGAUUACACCUUAGAUAAGCUAAAUUCAGGCCAGAGUGUGCAAGGCGGUGUUGAAUGUGUCACUGUCUGUCCAUGAGUCACUGUCUGUCAUCUGAAAUUUUUAUUUCGACCUGUGUGCACCUACGUUGUAAACUUUCAUUCAUAGGCUAGGUUGUAGCAACCUCAUGAUGGGUAUAGGGAACAUUUCAGUAUCAUACAGUAGUUUGAACCUAUUGAUGUUACGUUGAACUGGAUGAAUGGAAUAUGAAUGACAGUAACCUAAACCUGUCACUGUUACAUUGAACUGGAUGAAUAUGAAUGACAGUAUCCUAAACCUAUCACUGUUACAUUGAACUGGGUGAAUGGAGUAUGAAUGACAGUCAUCUAAUAUGCUGUAAUAGAAAUAAGGCCAUGCUCAUCAAAAAAAAAUAAUUGUCCUCCCUCAUCAAAAACGGCACUGUGUUCCACUAUUACAGACAGAGGUGGCAUAAUCUCUAAUGCUGUUCCACUGUCACAGAAGCCAGAUCACCCAUGAUACAAGUCAGUAUUCGACAUCCAUCCAUGUCUGAGGACGUCGGGAGAUGACGUGUAAACCGUCCACUAAGGGCAACAGAGAGCGCUGUUACCUUUAUGUAGGUUUCAGUUUCAUGAUGAGGGAGGUGGGUGUAAGCCUCUGAUUCCAAAGGUUGCAAGUUUUAAUCCAGCGAUAGAACGUUUUUAAGGCUUUCUCAAACCUUAAUCCUUACCUUAACCAUUCGGCGUCAAUGCCUAACUUUAACCAUUCGGCGUCAAUGCCUAACUUUAAACAUUCGGCGUCAAUGCCUAACUUUAAACAUUCGGCGUCAAUGCCUAACCUUUAGAAUUUGGAGUUAAUGCCUGAACUUACCUUUAAACACUUAGAAAUGUUACGUUUGAGAAACAUGGAUGAACGUCUAAUUCUGACGUGAGAUUGUGAGAGCUAGUUGGUUACAGACAGAGGUGGUAUCAUCUCUAACUGUGCUGUUCCUCUGUUACAGACAGAGGUGGUUUCAGGUCUAACUGUGCUGUUCCCCUGUUACAGACAGAGGUGGUAUCAUCUCUAACUGUGCUGUUCCCCUGUUACAGACAGAGGUGGUAUCAGGUCUAACUGUGCUGUUCCCCUGUUACAGACAGAGGUGGUAUCAUCUCUAACUGUGCUGUUCCCCUGUUACAGACAGAGGUGGUAUCAUCUCUAACUGUGCUGUUCCCCUGUUACAGACAGAGGUGGUAUCAUCUCUAACUGUGCUGUUCCCCUGUUACAGACAGAGGUGGUAUCAUCUCUAACUGUGCUGUUCCCGUUACAGACAGAGGUGGUAUCAUCUCUAACUGUGCUGUUCUACUGUCACAGACAGAGGUGGUAUCAGGUCUAACUGUGCUGUUCCCCUGUUACAGACAGAGGUGGUAUCAGGUCUAACUGUGCUGAAGGUGAAGGUGUGUUUUUGUUAUCAGGCUUAGAGAAUGACGGCUCUCCUCUGUCCCAGUCCAGCUGCUCUGAUUCUUUGCAGUCUUUGUCAUAUUCAUGAGGUUCUCAAUUGGAGACAUCUCCAUCAUCAUGUUAAAAUCCCCAGACUUCAUCCCAAGGUUUAGGUCUACUAACAGACUCAGUGGCCACUAGAAAGAUGUCCCCAACUUCAACAUCCCAGCUGUGUGUUCCUGAGGUAAAGCCCUCAGAGCCCAGGACCCAUCCCAAGCCUUUUAAUAUUCUUCCGGCAAUGGCAAAGCUCUAACAAGACGUGUCUGCAUAGAGUCCUCAAACUUUUGAAAAAUGUUAAAGGCAUUUCGCGACUUGGAAGUUAAUACUAGCUAGUCCGCUCCUUUUUUUUCUUUUCUUUGGCUAUAGAGCCACUGGCAGAAGCUUUUAGAUCUCAUGUCAUCUAUCCAUGAUGUUCGUAUAGGUGGGUGUGAACAUCUAGUCUCCUUAAACGCUGAUGACAAUUUUUCUUUUCGUUUUACCUCAGACAUGUCUCUCCGAGCAUUAGUUGACUUGCUGAAAGAAUAUGGGAUCUUUUCAGGAUAUAAAAUAAACCUAUUGAAGAGUAUAAUCAUGCCUAAUAACAGGGCAGCUAUUCAGAACCCAAUCUUAGACCAGCCAUUUUCUUGGAGACCUCAGAAAAUGACAUAUCUGGGAUUGCAAAUUCCUUAUGAAAUUAUUAAGACAUAUCAACUGAACUAAAC
rnacentral:lncRNA from 1 species